AAAAAACAAAUACACAUUUCUGCCCUGGCCAGCGUGGCUCAGUUGGUUGCGUUAUCCCAUGCACCGAAAUGUUCCCGUUAAGAUUCCCACUCAGGGCACAUGCCUGGGUUGCAGGCUUGAUCCUGGGGAGGAUCAAUGUUUUGCUUUCAAAUUGAUGUUUCUCUCUUCCUUUCCCUUCUUCUCUCUUUAAAAAUCAAUUUUAAAAUCUUAAAAAAAAAAGAAAGAAACAAAUACACAUUUCCUUGCCCCACCUGGACCAACUGAAUUAGAAUAUUUGGGUCUGGAAGCCAGGAAUCUAUUUUAACAUGCUCACAAGUGCUCCCAACAAGUCCAUCUGCAGACCGGUGUUUGGGGACCAUGGACUGAUUCCAUGCAGUCUGAAGCCAUUGACUCUGAGGGUCCUCAGAUUAGGCUCUCAACUAACUAUAACAAUGUGCUGAUCCAAACGAGCAAAUGGCCUGACUGUGUGCCCAUGGAGUAUGUUUUCUGUAACAAAUUCCAUGACAUAGCCCAUCCCCAAGGGAUGCUCAGUGAGUCUCAAACUCCGCUGCAUAUUAAAGUCACCUGGAGACUUUAAAAACAUUCAUGCCCAACCCAGAUAUUCUGGCUUAAUUGACUGAGGAUGGGGCCUGGGCAUUUUGGGGGGCCUGGGCAUUUUUUAAGCUUCCCCAAAUUGUUCUAUUAUGCAGCCAGGGUUAAGAACCCCUGAUGAAGUCAAAUAUUAGUCUCUGUAAGGCUUUGCUUUGAAUUUGGAAUGAAGAGUGAGAUUUUAGUCUGAAGUCAUUCCUGCCUCCCUCACAGCCCCAUCAGGAGAGGUUUCCUGGAGAAGACGACAAGUCCUUUAAAUCCAUAGGUAUGGGAGUGUCUGCCCAGCCUGUACCCUCUUCUCUAAAAACUGCCACCCCUAACAUCCCUUCUUCCUUGUUGAAGUCAAAGCACCCUCCUUUCCCUGCCACAGCUGAUUGGACACAGGCUGGAUCCCUGCCCCAUGACCUGGUUUGAACGAGUUUUCUCUCUUCUGUGACAAGGAGCCAAUCACUGGUUGAUCCCCCCCUGUAGACUGAGAACUAGGGUAGUAUUUUAGGGCUGUGUGAGCUAAUAAGGAAGCAAAUGGAGCCAGGCUACUAGGAAAGCGUGCACACAGAGGAGGGGAUGUGAGGGAGAGCCAGACAUGGACUGAGAAGCCUCCAGGGUCACAGAUACCUUCUCAGGCCUAGGACCAGCUCCUAGUGACACCAACCUUCACUUCCUGCGCUGGGGUUCCUCUUAAUCCCUUUUAAUUGAGCUGGCUGUCCGGGACCUAUUCGGGACACUCAUGAUACCAUGAAAAUGUCUUAGACCUGAACCCAAAUUGCUGGCUUAAGGAUAAGAUAUAAUCGAGUGCUUCUGAGUGUCAAGUUUAAAAAAAAAAAAAAAAGCAAUGGAACCUGCAAACUGAUUGUUAAUUUAUUGCCAGUCACUCGACCCUUAUUGUGCCCUGAGUUUCUCUCUGUGGGGGAAACAGAGAUGACUCAGAAUUGGAUCCUGCCUUCAGGAACCUCACCACCUAGCAGGGGAGCUAAGAGACAGAGUACAAAGAAGGCAGUAUUGAUAAGAGCCCUGGGAGAGGAACAAUAUACCAUAGGCAUUCAGAUUGGAUGGUGGAGAAGCCUUAUGGCAAAGGAGGCAUUUGCACUUGCCUGGAGGCAGGUUAGGGUAUCUGAAGAAGGAGGAAAAGGCAUUCUAGGGGGAGGAAACUGUCUGGGCCCAGGUAGAAAAGCAUGGAAACAAGAAGUCCAGUUUGGCUAUAGCAGGUGGGAGAGGCUGAGGCUGUAAAGACAGCAGUAUCAGAACGCAGGAAGCCCAGUGGACAAGGCCAAGAUGCCUUGGAAGGUUCCCAGGCCUUUCCCCAGCACCCGCCCCGGGCAUGUUAAGCUGACUGGUCUCGCCGUCCCUAAGUUGCUGGGAGACCCCUAACAGUUUUUUCUUAUGUUUUUACAGCAGGUGACAGUUGGCAACACAUUCUUGUAUAUGUUCUCUGACUCACACUCAGGUGUAAUGGUGAAUUAACUGGCCCCAUGAAGUAUCUCAUCUUCCAAUGCUUACCCCAGAGGAAUGAACCUCAGACCUUCAGGAAGGAAGACUUUUUGGUCAACAAGUCCUUCCCUGGGUCUCUCACACUCCUCUACCUGGGAAGAGGCUUGUGCCUACCUGACCGCCAGGAUCCUCCUCCUGAUCUCCCUUGACGUCUGGAGCAGGGGCUGGUGUGACCUUGACCGCAGGGAGCUUGGUUGGCUCCUCCUCUUUAAAGGAUAAACAUGGGAUAGGUCAGAAGAGGACCAGGUGUUGAGGGCAGCUAAGAGACCGAUAGAUAUGUACAGAUGAGAGGACAGCUGGGAAAUGGCAAUCCUUGCUCCUUCUGUAUUUGCAGACAUUCCAUCCUGGCCAGCAUAGGCAACUGGAACAGAAAGAGGGUAAAGCCACAGCCCUAAGGGUCUGACCUUUCCCCCUACCAGCUGCAUGGAGAGGAUCCUAAUGAUUUCAAAGACAGCAGCUAGGAAGCCUUGGCAAGUCCGGAGAGCUGGGUUUAGGUACAGGCUCUUUCGCUUCUUGGCCAUGUGGCUUUGGGAAAGUCACUUGACCUCUUGAGCCUCCGUUGUCUAUAGAAUGGUGUCUAUAGAAUGGUGUCUAUAGAAUGGGAACAACCACUGCUGCUCUAGCUCCCUCCAAGGGUUACUGAGUACAACAGGAGUCCCGGUGUGCGGUAUAGAGCCCACAGGGCAGUAGCUGUCUCACACUCCCUGUCCCAGCAGCCACACAGAUGCUGGAUUUCUGUGCCACCAGACCCCUGGUGGCCUUUCCUCACUGGGGUUGCUGGUCUCGGGCCAAUCCCUAGCAGAACUAUCCUUUUUUAGAAGUGGCAGGAAGAAGAACUAGAGUCCAAUAUAGUCUAAUAUGGGACAAGAUUCAGCAAAAACAGAAGUGGGAGUCAACAACCUCCAGCCUGGCCUUUCCUGGCCUUGCCUACCCCACAUAAGGAGAGUAUGGAGGGAACAGUACAGGACUGCCUGGGGAAGAGGGACCCUGGACUACAGCAAAGUGCAGGCAGCACCAGAUCACCACUCCAGCUGACUGGCUCAGAGAGGCCAAGAGCCCUGCCUCAGCCCUGGCAGAUAGGAGGAAGGAAGGUACAGGAGAAAACCUGCUGGUCUCACCAUCCUCUCACCUUCUGGUUUGCUCUCUGCUUUGGCCUCCUGAUUCAAGCUCUCCUCAUCCCUGUUCUUGGAGGAGUGUGCUGCAAAUGAAAAAGGAAGCAUAUCUGGGACCAAAGUAUCCCCGCCACACCCUUCAGUUGGGCUGGUGGACUAGCAACCAGAGCAGCUCAAGUGCAUGCGAAGAGGCUGGCCUGGGAGUUAUGAUGUCUGGAUUCUAGUCCUACUAGGCCUGUCAUGGUGCCCAGUUCUCAACUUCUGUCUUACAUUCCCUGCACUGUCACUAACUGGCUAUGACCUUGAGCAAGUCACUUCCCCUGUUUUCUUUCUGGUAAAAUAACAUGGUUAGUGUUGGGGGCAACAGGUAGGGUUUAAUUCCUUUGUGAGCCCAAGUGAGGGCUGCCUGAGCGCUGAACUGAGGAGAAUCCUCACCCAGGUCUGGUGGAGAGUGCCAGGAUUGAUCAGAGGUGUCUGCAAUGGGCAGGGAAUGGAGAAAUAAUCACAUCCUUGGACUAGAUUAUGUGUAAGGGCCUUUACAGCUUACUUUCUAUAAAUCUACUAUAAGCUUUGCUAUAACUGCGGGGGCACUGCUGGUGGCCAUAUUCCUGAGCCUUCCCUCUCAGUGGCAAGGGGGAAGUAGCUGCUCCCCAAGCUCCUUGCCACACCCCUUUGACCCCAGACACCUGGAACCCACACAGGGCCCCCUUCCAGAUCCCCGUGCACGUGCUUUCCUGGAGGCCCGCAGAGCACUGUGCUCAGAAUGGUGCUGCCCUGGUUUCCAGGCAAGAAAAAUGGGGAGGGCAACUCUCUCAGUGUGACUGUGACCCAGGAAACCUGCAAAGUGCUUUCCAUGUAUCAUUUCAGGUGGGAGGCACAGAGACGGAGGUGCAGGGGCCAUGAAGGUCCCCCUCACAGCCGUGUAGUGUGGGAAGGUGAGGAUAAUGAUACACAUGACAGAACGAAGCGGUGCCCUGGAGUCUAUUCUGCAUCCCACACUGGCUCUGCCCUGUGAACUCUGGGUGACCUUGGAAAGCCUGUGUAUCCUCUCUAAGCCUCGGGGUCCCUUCUCUAAAAAGGCAACACCAUGAUACACACAAUGUGGGGAUCUGCGAGACAAAAUAAAUAAAAAUACUGUAAUUGCUGCAAUUAAAUAUUAUCUUAGCUCAGAUUCUGAAACUAGACAACCUCGAUUUGAAUCCCAGUUCUUCCACUUGCUAGCCAUGGACUGAGCUGAGUGAUUCCUUAACCUCUCUGUCCUUCAGAUUCUUCAUCUGUAAAAUCUGACAGACUUGUUGAAGGAAUAAAUUAAUUGAUACAUCGACUUGCUUAAAACAGUGCUUAGCACAGCCGUGGGCAAACUACGGCCCCCGGGCCGGAAAUGAAUAAAACUAAAAAAAAAAAAAGACCGUACCCUUUUAUGUAAUGAUGUUUACUUUGAAUUUAUAUUAGUUCACACAAACACUCCAUCCAUGCUUUUGUUCCGGCCCUCCGGUCCAGUUUAAGAACCCAUUGUGGCCCUUGAGUCAAAAAGUUUGCCCACCCCUGGCCUAGCACCUAGAAAGCACUGCAUCAGGUUUAGCUAUGACGAUAAUGAUGAGCUGACACAGGAGUUGAGAGCAGCUGUCCCACUGAGCCUGCAGCAAUGGGGCACCAUGUUCCAGAGGGUUUGGGUUAGACCCUGACGGGAUGAGCAGGUGCAAUCUGGAAACAUUAACAGGUCUGAAAUUUCCUCCUCUCAGCCUGUCUCCGACAUUCUCACAGUAGGUUCCAGCUGCAGCCCCUCUGGCAACGGGCUCCACUGCUCUGGCAUGUUCGGUCCCUUGAAGUUUCCUGGUGGGCCUGCCCAGGAGGUCCUUGUCAGGACUGAGAUGUCAGGAAGUGGCACUCCACCGCCUCCUUCAUCCAAACAAGUCCAGCGCCCCUUGGCAGGAAUCCAGCCCUGGCAUCCUCUGUUGAGCGACACGUAGCUGUUGUCAAAGGGGGCCCCCUGGUUCCAGUCCUGGCACUGAGAAUAUCUGCCAGCUGAUAGCUGGAGGGACUGGCAAUAAAACCAAGUUCCCCUCUUUCCUUCUCAUCCCUCCUCACACACCCUACCCUCUCGCUUCUCAUGCCCCCAAGAAAAGCAGGCCAACUAUGAAACCUCUCUCUCCGUCCCUCCCCCUCCGCCCCGCUCCCCCCCUCCCCCUCUCACACACACACACAGAAGAGGCAUGGGGAUCACUGGAUCCUCUUCACAGGGUGAGAGUUCAGACCAGUUCUGUGGAAGAGCUGGAACACCUGACAAGGGUGGAAACAUCUGGACAGCCAUUGGAAACAGCACAUGGAAACACAAACAUGUAUCUGGAAAGUCUUGGGAACAAAGGCCUUCAUCACAUUCCUGUGCUGUCACAGCCCCUCCUGGAUGGAAUCUCACGGUGUAGAAUCAGGGUUGGCUUCCCUGGGCAGGACUGUACCACAGAGCAUGCCAGCAAUCAUUCACAGCGAGGGCCACUCGAUGCCACACAGGCACGCCGUGGACCACGCAGGACUGUCUUGCCUGGGUUGAUGGUUGCUGGCUCCCCCAGAGCUGGUUUCCUCACAUGCCUCUCAGCUCAGCACGGAGGAUCAUCUCCUUAGUAUCAGUCUCCUCUGACCUCGGCCUGGCUUGGACAUCACAUAAUCCUGUCAGGACAAGCAGGCCAGCUGGCGGCUGUGAGCGGUGGAAGCGGCCCAGGCAGGGGGCCCUUGGUCCCAUUGAGGAGAAGUCUUCAUCUUUAAGACUUUGCCAGAGUCAGUAACUCCCAGAGGAGGGGCCCAGCAUGGCCCAGAGACACAGCUUCCUUCAUGACACAGCCGCACGGAUAGCACGCCGGCGGCCAGGGGCUGCAGCCUCGCUCUCAGAACCCCAGCGGGACUGCUUCUGGAGCGGGCGCUGCAGGAGGUCGUACUGUGUCCGCCAGGGCUCACCUCGAGGAUUUGCUAAGGAAGGGUUGAUCACCUUGUCUUUGAGUCUGCUUUCACAGUACAACGUAGUUGUUUCAAAUACCCAAAGUCCCAAUAUUGUGUCUGAAGAAGAUACUUAAGGGCCUGAGGGAAUUCUGAGCCUUAAAAAUGUGUCCCUGAACCAGGAAUCUCAGUCAGGGUGCUCCCUGGGGCUCAAGGGUCAGUCUCUAGUGUCAUAUACAGUUCAGUCCUCAGCCCUCUGCCCAACUGCAACCACGACCCCAUGGCUUCUGCCCAAAAGCCAACCUUCCCUUGAUGGGCCUCCUGCCUGGAGGGGUGCCUGUGGGGGCCUGAGAAUCGUGUUAGGGGCAGCUCUUAGGAGAGGGAGGCCAGAAGGCAGGAACUGGUAAGAAGGAUGGUGAGAAUCUCAGCUGCCAAAUCAUCUGUGAAGUUGGACAUCAGCUCCCACUGCACUUUGGACCCUCACCACCCCCAGAAGUGGUCCUGGCAGCUCCCAGGAUGUCCGUUGGGAUUCCUGGCUGAGGGGGAGGGUUGGCAGUCUUCCCAGGACACCAGUUUCUAGCACCUCCAGGAGCUUCCCCCGGAAGCGACCCUGGCCAGUCAGCCUGAGCCAAGCUGCCUGGAGGAGACUGUGGCGGGCUGCACAGAGAAGGUACUGAGGGGCACACAGCAUCAUGGCCUCAUUAUCUGCAGCUGAACCUCCUCAUGUCACAAGAGAGGACAGGGAGGCAGGGAAACAGGAAUGUGGAUGCCUAAAGGGCUUGGUUCCUUGGGGCCCUCUCCUCUCCCAGUGAGUUCCGUGUCUUCGUCUCUGCCCUGUCUCCCAGGCUGACUGCCACCCACUCUCCCCUGCUAACUCUCUCUUCCCACUCCUGCCCUCAACCCACCCACUGCCUCCGUUUUGCAGGUCCCAGUUGUUGUCCAGCUGCAGGAGGGAAGGAGUGGACAGGGAGACCACGCAGGUCUGGGGAGGCCUUGCUUACCUUCCCCCAGAGGGUCCAGGCUGUGGAGCAUGAGCCGGUACAUGGUGCUGCGGAUGGUGCUGUUGUGCAGAGAGGCUGAGCUGCUCCCUCGGGUCAGCACGGACGGGAGCUGAGCAGGAGAGAGCAGCACAGGCCUCAGUGGGCCCUGCCCAAGCCAGGAAGCCCUCAGGUUGGAACACAGAAACUCAGCAGAGACAACCUGGCCUUCCACAGCCUGGCUUCAGCCUGCAUACGCCAUUCCCAGCCAGAUGUGUCCACUCACCACCCGUCUUCUGGUCCCUCAAAUGUACCAUCCUUCUUACCCACUUGAAACCUUCAUUAUGGGGCGCCCAUCUAAUUCUCUUUUACAGACUUCUAUUCUUUUCCUUCAUAGCACUUUCCCCACUUUGUGUUAUAUGUAUGUGUUAUUUGUGUUUUAUGUAUGUUAGCAAACAUGCAAAUAAAUCGAGUGCCCAGUAGCAUCUUGAAGACAGA